ACGGAAAUGCAAAGUGAGCAGCAACACCACAGAAGAGAUUUCCAAACAUGCUAUCCGAUGGUUCAAUCUUGCAUCAGACCGCGGAGGCGGACGCUGGGAGAGAUACAGGUCAUCUACAGCUCUUCAAACCACAGAGGGUUAAUAAUUCACUUUUGGAAAACACAAAAAGGCGCUAAAUGUUAAGUGUUCAAUAAAUAUUGUAUUCAUAUUCAA